rnacentral:rRNA from 1 species
AUUGAACGCUGGCGGUAUGCUUAACACAUGCAAGUCGAACGGCAGCACGGUCUAGCCUGCUAGAUGGGUGGCGAGUGGCGAACGGGUGAGUAACGCGUAGGAAUAUACCUUAAAGAGAGGGAUAACUUGGGGAAACUCAAGCUAAUACCGCAUAAUGUCUGAGGGCAAAAGCUGGGGACCUUCGGGCCUGGCGCUUUGAGAUUAGCCUGCGUACGAUUAGCUAGUUGGUGGGGUAAGGGCCUACCAAGGCGACGAUCGUUAGCUGGUCUGAGAGGAUGACCAGCCACACUGGAACUGAGACACGGUCCAGACUCCUACGGGAGGCAGCAGUGGGGAAUAUUGGACAAUGGGGGCAACCCUGAUCCAGCAAUACCGCGUGUGUGAAGAAGGCCUGAGGGUUGUAAAGCACUUUCAGUGGGGAGGAGGUUGAUUAGGUUAAGAGCUAGAUUAAUGGACGUUACCCACAGAAGAAGCACCGGCUAACUCCGUGCCAGCCGCCGCAGUAA